AUACACCAACCCUCAUGGGCUGUGUCUCAAUCCACCACGCCCAGGCUGACAUCUAAUUAGCAUAAUACACCAACCCUCAUGGGCUGUGUCUCAAUCCACCACGCCCGCCUGUCAGCCUGGAAUAGACCUUCCUCAUCUGAGGUGGAAGGUGACCUUCCUCAUCUGAGGUGGAAUCGACCUUCCUCAUCUGAGGUGGAAGGUGACAGAGCUACAGCGGUGUUUGUCAAGAGAUCGUGGUGAAACAUCCCUGAAAAAUUGGUCUUCUCACAAAUACUUCUGUAGCGUCCUAACGAGUCAGAUUGGGCCAUCUUCAAACAAUUCCACAUGUACCCAGAUUAUUUAGUUAGUUUAGUUGGAACUCAGUGCCCUGGGGCCCCUAGACCCCUUCUUUUAACAGCUUUGUGAUGAGGAAUAUAAUUCUAUUGAAACUAACCUGCCAACUGGAACUAAGCCUUAGAGACACACACAGGUUCUCUCUUCCUCCUCACAGCUCCCCUGUAGCUAUAACUCAGGCUGACUUGACCUGCUAGUAACUAACACACAUCAGCCUCCAACGUGGAAACAACUGGAACUAAGCCUUAGAGACACACACACAUGUUCUCUCUUCCUCCUCACAGUUCCCCUGUGACUCAGGCUGACCUGACCUGCUAGUAACUAACACACAUCAGCCUCCAACGUGGAAACAACUGGAACUAAGCCUUAGAGACACACACAGGUUCUCUCUUCCUCCUCACAGUGUUCCUCUGUAACUCCUGUCAGGCUGACCUGACCUGCUAGUAACUAACACACAUCAGCCUCCAACGUGGAAACAUCUGGAACUAAGCCUUAGAGACACACACACAGGUUCUCUCUUCCUCCUCACAGUUCCCCUGUGACUCAGGCUGACCUGACCUGCUAGUAACUAACACACAUCAGCCUCCAACGUGGAAACAUCUGGAACUAAGCCUUAGAGACAGACACAGGUUCUCUCUUCCUCCUCACAGUGUUCCUCUGUAACUCCUGUCAGGCUGACCUGACCUGCUAGUAACUAACACACAUCAGCCUCCAACGUGGAAACAUCUGGAACUAAGCCUUAGAGACACACACACAGGUUCUCUCUUCCUCCUCACAGUUCCCCUGUGACUCAGGCUGACCUGACCUGCUAGUAACUAACACACAUCAGCCUCCACAUCCAACGUGAAAACAACAUAAAAAAAAGCUGCUACACGAGGCUGACAAAUGUUUGUUUGUUGUGAGAGAAGAAGAAGAGAGAGAGAGAGAACCUCAAACUACAUGUUGCCGUCCUAGUAUCACUCUCUAUUCACACCCACCUGUAUGACAGGCAGUUUGCCCGUCCAUGUCUCUAUUGAAGUCUUUUGGGUUAAUGUAGUAUUUGUCUUUAUUUGUAGUGGGGGUGUUAGUUGUGUUGAUGCUGGUGAACUUGAAGGAGAUAAGCAGUUGGGAUGUAAAUGGAUUCAACAGUAUUUUUGGGAAUAUCAGGCCCAACUGUCUCUAUGUCUGGCCUGUAAAGAGCCUCUCUCUCUCUCUCUCUCUCUCUGUCUGGCCUGUAAAGAGCCUCUCUCUCUC